UAACAUGAAAUCAGACAAGUGA
rnacentral:rRNA from 1 species